AUUGAACGCUGGCGGCAUGCCUUACACAUGCAAGUCGAACGGCAGCACGGGGCAACCUGGUGGCGAGUGGCGAACGGGUGAGUAAUGCAUCGGAACGUACCUUUCAGUGGGGGAUAACGUAGCGAAAGUUGCGCUAAUACCGCAUAUUCUGUGAGCAGGAAAGCAGGGGAUCGCAAGACCUUGCGCUGAUUGAGCGGCCGAUGUCAGAUUAGCUAGUUGGUGAGGUAAAGGCUCACCAAGGCGACGAUCUGUAGCGGGUCUGAGAGGAUGAUCCGCCACAGUGGAACUGAGACACGGGCCAGACUCCUACGGGGGGCAGCAGUGGGGAAUUUUGGACAAUGGGGGCAACCCUGAUCCAGCCAUGCCGCGUGAGUGAAGAAGGCCUUCGGGUUGUAAAGCUCUUUCGGCCGGGAAGAAAUCGCACGGGCUAAUACCCUGUGUGGAUGACGGUACCGGAAUAAGAAGCACCGGCUAACUACGUGCCAGCAGCCGCCGUAAAAC
rnacentral:rRNA from 1 species